GAUUUCUGGUAUAGUUCGCCUAGCCCGCCACCGUUAGGUGUGUGAGUGCCGGGUCGGACUUACCAUCCUUCUAGUAAAUGUAUAUAGACAACUCUUCAUUGAGUUGUCGAUACACUAUCUAGAUCUUUUACUUUGAAAAAAUUAGAGUGUUUAAAGCAGGCAUAUUGCUGUGAAUACAUUAGCAUGGAAUAAUAAUUUAGGACUUCGGUUUUAUUUUAUUGGUUUCUAUUACUGAAGUAAUGAUUGAUAGGGAUAGUUGGGGGUGCUAGUAUUCAGUGGCCAGAGGUGAAAUUCUCGGAUUCACUGAAGACUAACUUAUGCGAAAGCAUU
rnacentral:rRNA from 1 species